rnacentral:rRNA from 1 species
GAGUUUGAUCAUGGCUCAGAUUGAACGCUGGCGGCAGGCCUAACACAUGCAAGUCGAGCGGAUGAAGGGAGCUUGCUCCUGGAUUCAGCGGCGGACGGGUGAGUAAUGCCUAGGAAUCUGCCUGGUAGUGGGGGAUAACGUCCGGAAACGGGCGCUAAUACCGCAUACGUCCUGAGGGAGAAAGUGGGGGAUCUUCGGACCUCACGCUAUCAGAUGAGCCUAGGUCGGAUUAGCUAGUUGGUGGGUAAAGGCCUACCAAGGCGACGAUCCGUAACUGGUCUGAGAGGAUGAUCAGUCACACUGGAACUGAGACACGGUCCAGACUCCUACGGGAGGCAGCAGUGGGGAAUAUUGGACAAUGGGCGAAAGCCUGAUCCAGCCAUGCCGCGUGUGUGAAGAAGGUCUUCGGAUUGUAAAGCACUUUAAGUUGGGAGGAAGGGCAGUAAGUUAAUACCUUGCUG